UACGUUCCCGGGCCUUGUACACACCGCCCGUCAAGCCAUGGAAGUCAGGAGACCUGAAGACAGUGACCGUCAAAGGAGCUGUUUAGGGUAAAACUGGUAACGUGGGCU
rnacentral:rRNA from 1 species